GACGAACGCUGGCGGCGUGCUUAACACAUGCAAGUCGAACGGAAAGGCCCUGCUUUUGUGGGGUGCUCGAGUGGCGAACGGGUGAGUAACACGUGAGUAACCUGCCCUUGACUUUGGGAUAACUUCAGGAAACUGGGGCUAAUACCGGAUAGGAGCUCCUGCGGCAUGGUGGGGGUUGGAAAGUUUCGGCGGUUGGGGAUGGACUCGCGGCUUAUCAGCUUGUUGGUGGGGUAGUGGCUUACCAAGGCUUUGACGGGUAGCCGGCCUGAGAGGGUGACCGGCCACAUUGGGACUGAGAUACGGCCCAGAGUGCUACGGGAGGCAGCAGUGGGGAGUAUUGCACAAUGGGCGGAAGCCUGAUGCAGCAACGCCGCGUGCGGGAUGACGGCCUUCGGGUUGUAAACCGCUUGCGCCUGUGACGAAGCGUGAGUGACGGUAAUGGAUAAAGAAGCACCGGCUAACUACGUG
rnacentral:rRNA from 1 species